CAAUACCCAGACUUUUCUAGUUCAAGUGAACACAAACAUGCCUAUGAAAUUCAUCUUUGUAGAAAAGUCAGCACAUACUUCAACUUUUUGGUGGAAGGUGAAGAGGAGGGUGAAGUAGAUAAAGGCAGUCAAACGAUACAAAUUUCUAUUUGUGAGAUGAGUACAGAGAUGACUGCCAAAAAGUCUGUGUUUGGCUCAAGAUCCAAGAUUCACUAUAAAACUAAAAGUUUCAGGUGUUUCAACAAACCUGAAAGACUUUAUCUGUUUGAAAGAAAUUGAUUGAUAUAACAUUUGUCAUUAUUAAAAUAUCUAUUUUUAAAAAGUACAGUCAG
ensembl:lncRNA